UGAAGAGUUUGAUCAUGGCUCAGAUUGAACGCUGGCGGCAGGCCUAACACAUGCAAGUCGAACGGUAACAGGAAGCAGCUUGCUGCUUCGCUGACGAGUGGCGGACGGGUGAGUAAUGUCUGGGAAACUGCCUGAUGGAGGGGGAUAACUACUGGAAACGGUGGCUAAUACCGCAUAACGUCGCAAGACCAAAGAGGGGGACCUUCGGGCCUCUUGCCAUCAGAUGUGCCCAGAUGGGAUUAGCUAGUUGGUGAGGUAACGGCUCACCAAGGCGACGAUCCCUAGCUGGUCUGAGAGGAUGACCAGCCACACUGGAACUGAGACACGGUCCAGACUCCUACGGGAGGCAGCAGUGGGGAAUAUUGCACAAUGGGCGCAAGCCUGAUGCAGCCAUGCCGCGUGUAUGAAGAAGGCCUUCGGGUUGUAAAGUACUUUCAGCGGGGAGGAAGGUGUUGUGGUUAAUAACCGCAGCAAUUGACGUUACCCGCAGAAGAAGCACCGGCUAACUCCGUGCCAGCAGCCGCGGUAAUACGGAGGGUGCAAGCGUUAAUCGGAAUUACUGGGCGUAAAGCGCACGCAGGCGGUCUGUCAAGUCGGAUGUGAAAUCCCCGGGCUCAACCUGGGAACUGCAUUCGAAACUGGCAGGCUUGAGUCUUGUAGAGGGGGGUAGAAUUCCAGGUGUAGCGGUGAAAUGCGUAGAGAUCUGGAGGAAUACCGGUGGCGAAGGCGGCCCCCUGGACAAAGACUGACGCUCAGGUGCGAAAGCGUGGGGAGCAAACAGGAUUAGAUACCCUGGUAGUCCACGCCGUAAACGAUGUCUACUUGGAGGUUGUGCCCUUGAGGCGUGGCUUCCGGAGCUAACGCGUUAAGUAGACCGCCUGGGGAGUACGGCCGCAAGGUUAAAACUCAAAUGAAUUGACGGGGGCCCGCACAAGCGGUGGAGCAUGUGGUUUAAUUCGAUGCAACGCGAAGAACCUUACCUGGUCUUGACAUCCACAGAACUUUCCAGAGAUGGAUUGGUGCCUUCGGGAACUGUGAGACAGGUGCUGCAUGGCUGUCGUCAGCUCGUGUUGUGAAAUGUUGGGUUAAGUCCCGCAACGAGCGCAACCCUUAUCCUUUGUUGCCAGCGGUCCGGCCGGGAACUCAAAGGAGACUGCCAGUGAUAAACUGGAGGAAGGUGGGGAUGACGUCAAGUCAUCAUGGCCCUUACGACCAGGGCUACACACGUGCUACAAUGGCGCAUACAAAGAGAAGCGACCUCGCGAGAGCAAGCGGACCUCAUAAAGUGCGUCGUAGUCCGGAUUGGAGUCUGCAACUCGACUCCAUGAAGUCGGAAUCGCUAGUAAUCGUGGAUCAGAAUGCCACGGUGAAUACGUUCCCGGGCCUUGUACACACCGCCCGUCACACCAUGGGAGUGGGUUGCAAAAGAAGUAGGUAGCUUAACCUUCGGGAGGGCGCUUACCACUUUGUGAUUCAUGACUGGGGUGAAGUCGUAACAAGGUAACCGUAGGGGAACCUGCGGUUGGAUCACCUCCUUACCUUAAAGAAGC
rnacentral:rRNA from 1 species